rnacentral:rRNA from 1 species
GGAUCAGAUUGUCGGUCGUGCCUCGGUACGCACUGGUCAAAUUGAUUCCUACCUUCUGACGAACCACGAUGUCAUUAAUUUGGUGUCGCGGGAAAUCAGGACUGUUACUUUGAAAAAAUUAGAGUGUUUAAAGCAAGCUAACGCUUGAAUACAUUAGCAUGGAAUAAUGAAAUAGGACGUUCGAUCCUAUUUUGUUGGUUUCUAGGAUUGACGUA